UACGUAGGGGGCAAGCGUUGUCCGGAAUCAUUGGGCGUAAAGAGCGUGUAGGCGGCCUUAUAAGUCGGCUGUGAAAGUCAAGGGCUCAACCCUUGAAUGCCGGCCGAUACUGUGAGGCUAGAGUCCGGAAGAGGCGAGUGGAAUUCCUGGUGUAGCGGUGAAAUGCGCAGAUAUCAGGAAGAACACCCGUGGCGAAGGCGGCUCUCUGGGACGGUACUGACGCUGAGACGCGAAAGCGUGGGGAGCGAACAGG
rnacentral:rRNA from 1 species